AAGGAGAGGUUGGAAUAGUACAUGGACAGGCUGGGGGUUGCCAAGGAGAGGUUGGAAUAAUACAUGGACAGGCUGGGGGUUGCCGAGGAGAGGUUGGAAUAAUACAUGGACAGGCUGGGGGUUGCCAAGGAGAGGUUGGAAUAAUACAUGGACAGGCUGGGGGUUGCUGAGGAGAGGUUGGAAUAAUACAUGGACAGGCUGGGGGUUGCCAAGGAGAGGUUGGAAUAAUACAUGGACAGGCUGGGGGUUGCCGAGGAGAGGUUGGAAUAGUACAUGGACAGGCUGGGGGUUGCCGAGGAGAGGUUGGAAUAGUACAUGGACAGGCUGGGGGUUGCCAAGGAGAGGUUGGAAUAGUACAUGGACAGGCUGGGGGUUGCCAAGGAGAGGUUGUAAUAAUACAUGGACAGGCUGGGGUUGCCGAGGAGAGGUUGUAAUAGUACAUGGACAGGCUGGGGGUUGCCGAGGAGAGGUUGUAAUAGUACAUGGACAGGCUGGGGGUUGCCGAGGAGAGGUUGUAAUAGUACAUGGACAGGUUGCCGAGGAGAGGUUGUAAUAGUACAUGGACAGGCUGGGGGUUGCCGAGGAGAGGUUGUAAUAGUACAUGGACAGGCUGGGGGUUGCCGAGGAGAGGUUGUAAUAGUACAUGGACAGGUUGCCGAGGAGAGGUUGUAAUAGUACAUGGACAGGUUGCCGAGGAGAGGUUGUAAUAAUACAUGGACAGGCUGGGGGUUGCCGAGGAGAGGUUGUAAUAGUACAUGGACAGGCUGGGGGUUGCCGAGGAGAGGUUGUAAUAGUACAUGGACAGUCUGGGGGUUGCCGAGGAGAGGUUGUAAUAGUACAUGGACAGGCUGGGGGUUGCCGAGGAGAGGUUGUAAUAGUACAUGGACAGGCUGGGGGUUGCCGAGGAGAGGUUGUAAUAGUACAUGGACAGG